rnacentral:rRNA from 1 species
CAUGGUGGUUAUAGCGACGGGGUUCCACCUCUUCCCAUUCCGAACAGAGAAGUUAAGCCCGUGUGCGCCGAUGGUACUGCUUUAAUUUGUGGGAGAGUAGGUCGCCGCCUUUU